rnacentral:ncRNA from 1 species
AUCGCGAGGUGCAGGCGAGAAGAAGGGAUAGCGAAAUCGUAGCCUGACGAACAGAAACCUAAUACCAAGGCUUGCAUAGCGGAUGAGCGGGCAGUGAGCCGUAGAGUCCAAAAGGCAACCGUAACCUAUGCAGGUAGAUUAGGCAGGCAGACGAGGAAAGGC